GAAUAUCGGAGUUGCGCUCUCCUCCUCCCGGCGCCUCCGAUCUCGGCCAGCGAUACUCCUCCUCCCAGUCGCCGGCCGAACCGAUGACGCCCACCGGAUCCUCCUCCCCCGGUGGGCGUUUUCU
rnacentral:sRNA from 1 species